GUGGUAGCUUUGGCAGCACAUAUACUAAAAUUGGAACAAUACAGAGAAGAUUAGCAUGGCCCUGCACAAGGAUGACAUGCAAAUUCGUGAAGCACUUCAUAUUUUU
ensembl:snRNA U6 U6 spliceosomal RNA